rnacentral:sRNA from 1 species
UUUAAUUAGUCAAUGAGUAAUAUCCGUUAAUUAUCCGUUAUUAUUUCUUUCGUCCCAAACCUCUGGAGACUCUUUUGACUUAUGAUAACCUUUCUUGCCCUGACUGAUGGUACAUACAUAAGUCAAUUUAGCUUUUGUUAUCUUCGGUGAGAAUUAAAAGGACAAAAAAAAAACGCUCCAAAACCUAUUUACUAGGGUACAUUUUUUACCAAAUCUUAAAUUCAACGCAAGAUCAUGUGUUUACGGUUUACCCACCAAGCAACCGCUGAACACGAGAUUGUCACAAACGUAAUGAUAAUCGUCCAACCUCUCCAGCCCAUAGAGUCCGUGUGGUUUUCGCCGUGUGUUGUGAAGUGAUACGGUGCCGAUACACGGUGGAUAGCCACAACAUCGUCGACAUAGACAUUAGGUUGAAAAAUUCGACAUCUUCUGAUAUUUAAUAUGACGAUUAAAAAAAAAGAAAUAAGUCUAUUUAUCCUUGGAAUUAUUAAUGACGCUUUUUAAUUUAUUUUUCAAACUAAUAAAACUAUGAAUAAUAGCAUCAGAAAUCAUA